rnacentral:rRNA from 1 species
UAGGGAAUCUUCCGCAAUGGGCGAAAGCCUGACGGAGCAACGCCGCGUGAGUGAGGAAGGUCUUCGGAUCGUAAAACUCUGUUAUUAGGGAAGAACAAAUGUGUAAGUAACUAUGCACGUCUUGACGGUACCUAAUCAGAAAGCCACGGCUAACUACGUGCCAGCAGCCGCGGUAAUACGUAGGUGGCAAGCGUUAUCCGGAAUUAUUGGGCGUAAAGCGCGCGUAGGCGGUUUUUUAAGUCUGAUGUGAAAGCCCACGGCUCAACCGUGGAGGGUCAUUGGAAACUGGAAAACUUGAGUGCAGAAGAGGAAAGUGGAAUUCCAUGUGUAGCGGUGAAAUGCGCAGAGAUAUGGAGGAACACCAGUGGCGAAGGCGACUUUCUGGUCUGUAACUGACGCUGAUGUGCGAAAGCGUGGGGAUCAAACAGG